GACGAACGCUGGCGGCGUGCCUAAUACAUGCAAGUUGAGCGCUGAAGGUUGGUACUUGUACCGACUGGAUGAGCAGCGAACGGGUGAGUAACGCGUGGGGAAUCUGCCUUUGAGCGGGGGACAACAUUUGGAAACGAAUGCUAAUACCGCAUAAAAACUUUAAACACAAGUUUUAAGUUUGAAAGAUGCAAUUGCAUCACUCAAAGAUGAUUCCGCGUUGUAUUAGCUAGUUGGUGAGGUAAAGGCUCACCAAGGCGAUGAUACAUAGCCGACCUGAGAGGGUGAGCGGCCACAUUGGGACUGAGACACGGCCCAAACUCCUACGGGAGGAAGCAGUAGGGAAUCUUCGGCAAGGGACGAAAGUCUGACCGAGCAACGCCGCGUGAGUGAAGAAGGGUUUCGGAUCGUAAAACUCUGUUGGUAGAGAAGAACGUUGGUGAGAGUGGAAAGCUCAUCAAGUGACGGUAACUACCCAGAAAGGGACGGCUAACUACGUG
rnacentral:rRNA from 1 species